GUGAAAACCAAAUAAAAAAGAAAAGAAAAGAAAAGGAAGGUAGAGAUAGAGGGCGAGAGGGCUAGAGACUAGAGAGUUUUGGAAUCUGGAACUCUCUCUGCCUCUCAACCUCUAUUUUUCUCUCUUUCUCAAUGUCUAGAGAAUUUUUGGAACGAGAGAGCAAGCCAUGGUUGCCGAUGGCUUUUUUUGGACAUCUAUGGUGGUAUAUCGGCCGAUCUGAAUAGAGCAAAGGGGGAUGGAUAGAUCGGAGUGAGGGAAGGCUUUGAGUUGAAAGGUGUGGAAAUGUUUCUCAAAAAAGCACAAACUUUGUGACUCACCAUUUACUUAUCUUCUUCUUCUCUCUCUUUACACACGAAGAUUCAGAAAAAAGAAAAAAAAAAGAAAAGUGAAGCUCAAACGCUGUUUGUGAUAUCUGGGGAUUGGUGGAUGUGUGAGAGAUAGACGGUUGCAGGUGUUCUUUCUGUCGAGUAGGAUUGGUUUUUCAUAAAUGAAUCACUGUAAUCUGUAAUCUUCAAUAGAAUGCCUUUUUGGUUGUUGGAGGUAAAGAGAUUAGAGGCUUUAUCUCUGAUCUGAAAGGGGCCCUCUGGUUUGCCAUAAGCUUCAGUUAGUCGGGGUUUUGGCUAACAAUCUACUGUGGUCCUUGAGAUGGCACUGUGUUAAAAAAAUUUGUGACCUAUUCUUUAUAUUUUCAUGGUUUUGUUGAAUGUUAUAGGCUUUUGAGGGUUUUAGAUUUAGAGGUUUUUGUUUUUGUUCACACUCAUUGUCAUCAAUCAGAGGUUUGUGAUUCCCUGCACCAGAUUCCUAGGCUUCAACAGAGCAAGAUUGAGUUGUAAUUUGAAUGUUUGCUUUGAUUUCAAGUUUAAAUGCUUAAAACUUUUAAUAUAUGAAGAACGGGCUUAGUUUAUUUUUGUUUUGUGUAUAACUAGUUGUUUAGAUUUUAUUUGAUAUGACUAGGCAUGACUUUGUGUAAUUGAACAAUCAUCUUGAUUCAACCAAUGGAUGAAUUACUGUUGUUUAUACCCUUAUUUUGAUUGAUCAGAAACCUCUACCUUAAUUUUGGCCAAGCAAUAUGAUCAUUAUUUGAAGGUUUAUCUUUAUGGCUUUGUUUAGAGUUGUAUAUCCUUGUUGUUUAUACUUUUUACUCCCUAUUGUCUCAAUUGUUUAUUUUAUAUUUUUUUUAUAUGACUUAGUGGUUUUCUAUUCCCUUGUCAGAUAAAGGUAAAAUACCACUGUAAUUAUCAAUUUUUAGGUUCCUUUAACAGAUUAUACUUCUCCAAUGCAAACGAAUUAGUUUGCUUGGUUGUUCAGUUUGAAUAUUCUUACUGAUUGUUUUUUUUUUUUUUUUAAUUGCAAUGGUUGAACAAUUUGUUUAGGAAGAGAAGCAAUGGCAGACUGCCUUUUGAAAAUGCACAUUAUAAAUGAUAGAUUUUGCUUUUAGCAUUUGCUUGACUAAUUACUCUUUAAAAUAUAUUUGCUUCUCAUUAUAAAUGAUAAAAAUGUUAGAAUUUAAUCAAAGCAAGUCAUAAUAGAGUCAACGCAUCAUUUGCUGUGAAUAUUUGUAAUGGUGUUUUUUUAGGUGCAUUUGCACAUAUGGCACAACCAUACGCGCUCCUCCAACCACCUCCUUCUGUUUUCCACCCCUUUAUUGCCAACCUUCCCUACAACCACAAGUUCUCUCUUACAAAAUCUUUUAUGUGUAUUGUGUACAAAUAUUUUUCAUUUGCCAUUUCUUUUUUUGGUUUAAUAUGGAUGUAUUAGAUAUCUAUUUGUUUCAGAUGAGUUGAGUUUUUUAUUUCUUUCUUUUUUUUGGUGAUGUGUUAGAUUGAAUGGUUUCUUCAAAAUGAUCUAUUACGGCUAUA